rnacentral:lncRNA from 1 species
CGCGCCACUGCACUCCAGCCUAGGCCACAGAGCGAGACUCCGUCUCAAAAAAAUAAAAGGAUCAUUCAGGUAAAGCAGAUAAGAAUCACCAAUACCUUGAGGUGGAAGCACGCCUGACAUGGUUGAGAAACAACAGAGAAGCCGGCGUCCUGAGUGCGUUUCCAUAGUAAUGAUCAAAUCAAAGAAAUAUAGAAAACACCUAACAUUGCUGGAAACUGAAGAGGUGUUCAACUCAUUUAUCCGACCUUGAAGCCAGUAGAGUGCAGGAGACAUCUGAGUGUUGUCAAGGAUCAACAAAUCUGGAUACUAGUUAAUGUGAUGCCGUGAACCUAGCAAUGAGUGAGGAAAAGGAAUCUUUCACCCCUACAAAGGGAUACCAUGGAAUUUCUCAAACAGUGAAUACAUUGGCUCCAGGAAAAAGGGUCGACCUCUUAAAUAGAAAUAGAGAACUAGAGAACAAUAAUGAGGGGAGUACCUUGCAGUCAGUAAUAAGAAGCUGUCUUUACUAUCAAAUCAGACCUCCAGUGGGAGAGUUUUUCCCUAUAGUGACUUUGACUGUCACCCUGUGUUUAAUCACAAUCCUAUGAAAACAGUUAACUCUCUAAGUGGUCAAAGAAAUUUUUCAAUAAACAUAAACUUUAGUCUAAUUCUCAUUAUUCUCCUUUUUUGUCUCUUUGUCUAAAAUAAAGCAAUUAAACAUUAAUUAUGCAAAUCAUUGACAAACUAGAAAAACAAUACCCUUCGUAUUUCAAGACAGUGGGAGAGAUAGGCUGGGUAUUCAGAGAAAAAUACCCCUCAUUAAAUGUUAAUGCAAGAAACAGGUGGAAGGCCGAGCAUG